GGGCCGCUAGCUCAGUUGGUAGAGCAAAGGACUUUUAAUCCUUGGGUCCAGGGUUCGAGCCCCUGGCGGCCCACAA
rnacentral:tRNA from 3 species